AUUAAUUAUUAAUUAUUAGUUAAUUAGUAAAAAACAAGGACAAAAAAGUAAUUUAGAUAGUGAAAAGCCAAAAGCCAACUCCAAAAAGCUAGUGUUACUAGCUUUUCAUUUUUGGCGGAAAAGCUAGCUUUUCAGCAAGCUAAAAAGCCAGUUACCAAACACAUUUUUUGGCUGUUUGACCAGAUCAAAAAGCCAACAGCCAAAAGCCAACCAAAAAGCCAGCAAACAGCCAUUUGCCAAACAAGGCCAUUAGUUGAAUGGGUUAGAGAUGGGUUGAGGCCUUGAGGGGUGGGGGAGAAAGGAGGCUUGAUAAAUAUAGCAGAGAGAUUAUUUAUGUUAAUUAACUUAAAUUAUUAAAUUAAAUUAAGUGCAAUGUAUAGCGGUACAUAGCAAUUUUGAUACAUAGCGGUACACGUUAUUUAUGGUAGACUCAGAGUUUGAGAUCUAUAAAUCUAGAAACACAUUCUUCCUUGUCUUUUUAUAUCAGUUUGAACUAGAGAUGACAAACAUGACAUUUAAAUCGGUAUUAGUUAGUUUGAUUAUGUUUUGUUCGAAGAUGUCCGAAUUAGGUCAUAUUCAAUUCGGUUCGAUGACAAUUAGUUUAUUAUGAUAAUUUAACAAUCAUUAACAUAUUUGAUUGUUGUUCUUGGUCAAACCAGUUCAAGUUAAAAUUGAGUGGAUUAAUUUCAGUGUACGACAACUCUGAAGAUGAGAAAGAAACUUAGAGAGAGAAAGAGAAAAAAGAAAAAAAAAGACAUAUGAGAUACCCAAGCCCAAAAAGAACCCUACCAUACUCCUUGUUUCAUCCGCCUCCUUCAAGCCUCAUUCAUCUCCAUUGUUACUCCUCGAUUUUGUUCGAUCUCCUCUGAAAAUCCAAAACCAGAAAUAUGUAGCUAUAUCUCAGUGCAAUUGUUACCCUAGAUCCUACAUUAAUUCUUUAUUAAUUGCGAUUAAUGGUGGGAUUUUUUCGGUCUUUAUCUCUCCACCUUUGGAUCUUGAUUCAAAGGCUCUGAUCAUUUCUUUGAGAUCUUGUCUUGGUUUCUUCAUCCGUAAUUAUGAAGGAAAGUUAGUGGAUUUAAUUUUGAUUGAAAAGUCUUGUUGCUUCAUUUUGCCCAAUUCGUUGCUUGGGCAUUCUUGGUGGACGAGAUCGGCUGACCUUACUUACUGGUGUUGCUCUGCCGCUUCUUCUCUCUCAGGGAAGUACUUAAACUCAGUUAAUUAUUGUUAUUAUCUUGAAAAUUGUCAUAUUAUUCUUAUCUCUUAUGAUCUGGUGUUUUCCUACUCUAUUCGCGUUCGUCAAGAUCUUCAUGAUUAUAUUUUUUGCCUCCUCUUGUGUUGGAUACCUCACCUUGAUGCCCAAGUCUCCUUUAAUUCGUAUUUAACUCCCUGGUGUAACCCUAGAUCUGUUGUUCAUUGGUGUUUAAUGUUAAAGUUGGUUUAUCUAAAUUGCCAUGUCAUUAAUUAUGUGUUUUCCGGCAUUUACUUAGCUCCUGUCUAGAGGAAGUAUAAGUCACAAGUGAUAUGGACACAAGUGAGAUUUAAAUAAUAUAAAAUGAAAAAUAAAAAAAGGAAAAGUAAAUAACUAGUAACGGAGUCCGUUAGGGAAAAAGGGGGAAAGAAGGGGGCAUAACAAAUUGAAGAGAGAGAAACACCUCCUUCCUCAAUAUUUCUGAAGAACAAGAUAGAAAAAUGCCUCAUCAUCUCCUCACCAUUUCUGCAGAAAAUCAAUUCUUCAAGGAAAAGAGAGACGGUUUCUUAUACUCCCCGAAUUGACAUGAUGACCUUUCUUGUUCAUGGUUUAUUAUCUCGUCCUCCAGCGGAGUGGACAUUAUGGUGUUUGUGACGUUUAUUACCAUGUUGUAUGGCUGGAUUAUCCUUUUUGGUACCCUUAUUUUAUUCUCGCUUUUGGAUUCUCCUUUUUUGGGAACUUUAUAUUGUAUUUUUAUUAAGUGUUAUGACGUUUGAUAUUAUUGUAUUUUUUAUCAAGUGUUAUGACGUUUGAUAUUAUUGUAUUUUUAUUAAGUGUUAUGACGUUUGAUAUAAUAAGCCUUGAAUUUAACAGUAA